rnacentral:lncRNA from 1 species
AAUGGGUAGAGAUCAAGAGAAUGUGCAGUCAAACUCAGUAGCUUCACUACGAAUAGCUAAUGGCACCGCGGUCAAAGGAUCACUCACACCACUGCAGCAUCGAGAAGAUCACUGACAAGUGAGUAGACACGUCCAUGUGGUUCUCGUAUUGGUCACGCUCAAUACAAAUUGUGCUCUAACAACCAUCUGCACCUUUAUCCCAAUGUCUUUACACUGCAGGCCUGAGACUUAUCUGCCCACA